GUAAGCGGUGGACAAGAAACUAAACAGGACCCCCAUAGUAAUGGCGAAUGAGCAAGGAUGAGCUCAGCAUGGAAAUUGGGGCCUAUGGCCUUGACUUGUAAGCUUGCGAGGUAUUGCCAACAGAGGCGCAGAUGUAAGUCUCUUGGAAAAGAGCAUCAGCGAGGGUGAGAGUCCUGCUUGCCAUCUGCAGCCCCCUGUGCACGGUGUACCUACUAAGAGUCACGUUCCUCGGGAUUGGAGCGCAAAGUGGGUGGUAACUUUCAUCUGAAGCUAAAUAUUGGUCUGAGACCGAUAGGACACAAGUACCAUGAGGGAAAGGUGAAAAGGACUUUGGAAAGAGAGUUAAAAGUGCCUGAAAUUGCUGAAUGGGAAGCGAAUGGAACCAGUGUUUCCGGGUGAGAUUGUCAUAUGCUGUAAUGAUUGGUUGCUGAUCCAGCGCAAGUGCUUCUGGCAAGCAUUGAUCUGUAAGUGUGUGGUGUGUCUUGCCUUGGGUGUCAUCGUGGGCUUCUGCAUUAAGACAAUUCACAUUCCAGGGUAAUAUGUUCGAGAAGGUAUGAAUGUGCUUUGCGAUGCUUAUGCACAAGCUUCCUCUGGUAUGUACGGCUGCUGCGCGCGACCCAAACCUUGGGGGCGCGCAUUUUUCGGCACAUAUGAUGACUAAAUGCUUCUAUUCGACCGCU
rnacentral:rRNA from 1 species